rnacentral:rRNA from 1 species
AUUGAACGCUGGCGGCAGGCCUAACACAUGCAAGUCGAACGAGUGGCGGACGGGUGAGUAAUGUCUGGGGAACUGCCCGAUAGAGGGGGAUAACUACUGGAAACGGUGGCUAAUACCGCAUACUAUCGGAUGAACCCAUUUGGGAUUAGCUAGUAGGUGGGGUAAAGGCUCACCUAGGCGACGAUCGCUCGCUGGUCUGAGAGGAUGACCAGCCACACUGGAACUGAGAAACGGUCCAGACUCCUACGGGAGGCAGCAGUGGGGAAUAUUGGACAAUGGGCGAAAGCCUGAUGCAGCCAUGCCGCGUGUGUGAAGAAGGUCUUCGGGUUGUAAAGCACUUUAAGCGGGGAGGCGUUACCAGCAGAAUAAGCACCGGCUAACUUCGUGCCAGCAGCCGCGGUAAUUC